GUCUCCCCCCUCUAAUCAGUGAAACUGAUCUCCCCGUGAANAAGCGGGGAUAUACAUAUAAGACGAGAAGACCCCAUGGAGCUUUAAACCUGACAGCACCCGCUCAUUCUAUACCCCAUUAUUUGCCCGACCCCUGUCUGCUCAGUUUUAGGUUGGGGUGACCACGGAGUAUAAAAUAACCUCCAUGAAGAAGGGGAUAUUUCCCUUAUUAGAGAACCACACUUCCAAGAACUAAUAAAUUAAUUUUCAAUGACCCGAUACCCGAUAAUCGAUCAACGAACCAAGUUACCCUGGGGAUAACAGCGCAAUCCACCCUGAAAGCCCUUAUUAACAGGUGGGUUUACGACCUCGAUGUUGGAUCAGGGUAUCCCAGUGGUGCAGCAGCUACUGAGGGUUCGUUUGUUCAACGAUUAAAACCCU
rnacentral:rRNA from 1 species